UGGGGAAUUUUCCGCAAUGGGCGAAAGCCUGACGGAGCAACGCCGCGUGAGGGAUGAAGGCCUCUGGGCUGUAAACCUCUUUUCUCAAGGAAGAAGACCUGACGGUACUUGAGGAAUAAGCCACGGCUAAUUCCGUGCCAGCAGCCGCGGUGACACGUAGGCACCAAGCGUUAUCCGGAUUUAUUGGGCGUAAAGAGCUCGUAGGCGGUUCGGUAAGUCGGGUGUAAAAACUCUGGGCUCAACCCAGAG
rnacentral:rRNA from 1 species